GUUCCCCUGGCAACCAGAAGCGCGCCGCUCCAGUCUCGCGAUAGGAGGAAAAGGCUGUACCAACCGGAAAUAGGACGUGGGGGCGGGCGACCGGGAAGACUGGCGAAGCGACGGGAGUUCCGGGUUAGGCGGUCCUGCUGUCUCCUCAGCGUUUGAGUUUCCCUAAUUCUCAGUCCAUACAGACGUCCCCCUGGAUCCCGUAGCGGAUAUUUCCUCAUCCUCGGUACCAUCAGUUGUCUUCUACUUUUGAGUCUGAACAGAACUUUACAGUUAACAAGCAUUCUCACGUUCGUGACCUGUUUAUCGUUGUUAUUUAGGGAUCGAACUCGGGUCCUUUUGCUUGUGCAGAAAACCACAUUUUAGAGUCAUGCGGAACGCACCGAAUCAGCCCGCUGCAGACAGGCAGGUCUGCGGACGCCCUACCAAGGUCGCAAGUCCCACAGAAUACACUGAAUCAGCCCGUGCCCUGGCAGCAAUCCACUGGACACCCCCCCACAUCCCCACUCCUCUGCACAACCACUUGGUUCCACACUACAAAGACGCAGAGGACACCAGACCACCAGACCACUGUAUUGGGUGGUGAAUGCACUCCAAAAGCUUCCUAUGACCAGAAGCUGGGCUUUGGAAAAGACUGGAUCACAGGAGGGAUUCAUCCACUAAUGAGUCCACAGCUGACUGUGCAGUUAAGAGUUGGGGCCUGGUUGGAAGAGGCAGGUCACUGGGGGUGUGGCCCCAAAGGGUUUGAAGCUUCAUCUUCCUUUUACAACAUUCUUGAGUCCAUCUGUGAUACCCUGGAUGCAUGGAACCCACAAGUAGACCCUGAUACACUGGGGAUCCAUAGCCUGGAGGCUCUGCUUCCUGGAUGCUGUGAACUAAGCAGCUUGGUUAAACCAUGCCCUUCUGCCAUGAUCUCUCUGCUUUGGAACUUGUCAACCAUGUACUGAAUCUCCUGAAACUGUGAGCCAAAAUAAACUUUUCCUUUAAGUUGUGGGUGUCAAGUAUUUUGUCCCACUGGCAGGAAAGUUACCAUAGAAUAAGGAAUGUAGUUAUACUUAAGAAGCAUAAUUCCAUAUGUGUUAUGUUUUCUUACCUUUUCCCUUAAAAUAUACACUCCAUGAUCAUUCUAGCACCUCCUAUGUGUGUAUAUUACAUUUAGUAUAUGGACUGCAAUGAAUAAGCAUACAAAAAGCAAUUUGGAUGGGAAGGAGAAAGAUGCAGUCAUUAAAUUCUAAUCUAUACAGCUGAAAAAAAAUUACUCUUCAUAUCUAACACAUACCUCAGGAACCAUAUUUCUCAGCAUUGAAUUUCCCUUCCAGGUUUAGAACUUACCCUCCCCCUAGUGAAUUGAAACAAGACCUGGGUAUUUAAAGAGGAUGUGGAUCAAAGACCUUGCACAUUUAUGCCUUUAACCCCUGCAAGAGUCAUUCUGAGGAAAUGAAUAAGAACCAGCAAUAACUCUACUGACAGCAAAUCUUUUGUCAGCUCAUAUGUAAGGGAGAUUUCACCACAGGCCCAGGGGCUACUAUCACUUAUUUAUUCAUUCCUUUAUUAUUCUCUCACUUAAAUUUGAUAAUAAGUAUUUUGUGAUUUCCCAGAACAUGAAUAGCCAUGGGGAUUCCCAUAAAAUGAUGCUGGAGAUUAUAAUUUAAUUUCUAUGAAUGUUUCAGGGCUUUAUUCUACUUAUUAACUUAUCUUCUAGGCACAAAUAAAGAAAAACAUUGGCUGGAACCUGAGGCUAAGAGAAGAGGAGCUAUUUUAGCUGAGACCUCUUACAUAGAAAAUCUCAGUUCAGGGCUGGGGAUUUAGCUCAGUGGUUCUGCCGCCUGCCUCACAAGUGCAAGGACCCAAGUUCAAUCCCCAGUACAAAAAAAAAAAAAGAAAAUCUCAGUUCAUUUCAAUUUUAAAAACCUUGCACACAAAGGCCUUUGAUGCUACCCUAAGCAUUAAUACCAAUUCCUGUUAUUUUUAUGAUUAUUUUUCUUUUGGCUGUAGAACUCUAAUACAGCACAUUAAUUGUGACAUAAACCUGCUGCAUUUUUACAACCAUGUGGGGGAAGAUAAUCACUGCUAUAGUGUUAUUGUCAUCCACUGUAUGCCGAUACAUUGGUAGGCGUCUAUAGGAAAGCAUUAGCCCUUUCCCUUCACCAAAACACAACGUAAACCAAGCCUUCUUCCCUGAGUGUCGCAAACCUGCCGCAGCAGCUGCAUGCAAGUCUGCCAAGAGCUCAGCAUUACCAUGCUAGGGUGGGGCAGUGGCUUUGCUCUCUGAUUGAAUCAGACUCCAAAUGUUAAUUCAGUGCACCAGUUGGUUAACUUAGGGAUCCCUGUCUAAGGAUAGGCCACUUUGGAUUUCUAUGUAUGUGCUUAGAUACUCUAUUUAUCUGCUUUACUCUUAUGUCAUUGAUGUAAGUAAAUUAAUCAUGUGCAUUAAUGCUUGGAUAUGGCUUGUAAGUUUGAUGCAAAUUUGAACAUUCUUUUAAUAUCCCCUAAAUAAAUAUUCUGGUUUA